AGUGAACGCUGGCGGUAGGCCUAACACAUGCAAGUCGAACGGCAGCACAGGAGAGCUUGCUCUCUGGGUGGCGAGAGGCGGACGGGUGAGGAAUUCAUCGGAAUCUACUCUGUCGUGGGGGAUAACGUAGGGAAACUUACGCUAAUGCCGCAUACGACCUACGGGUGAAAGCAGGGGACCUUCGGGCCUUGCGCGAUUGAAUGAGCCGAUGUCGGAUUAGCUAGUUGGCGGGGUAAAGGCCCACCAAGGCGACGAUCCGUAGCUGGUCUGGGAGGAUGGACAGGCAAACUGGAACUGAGAAACGGUCCAGACUCCUACGGGAGGCAGGAGUGGGGAAUAUUGGACAAUGGGCGCAAGCCUGAUCCAGCCAUACCGCGUGGGUGAAGAAGGCCUUCGGGUUGUAAAGCCCUUUUGUUGGGAAAGAAAUCCAGCUGGCUAAUACCCGGUUGGGGUGACGGUACCCAAAGAAUAAGCACCGGCUAACUUCGUGCCAGCCGCCGCCGUAA
rnacentral:rRNA from 1 species